CUGUGCUUUCAAGUCUCUGGAGUCCCAUUUUUUUCUCUUCCAUAGAGUUUGUUUGCUGCAGUUUGAGCAGCCGAGGCAUAUGACAAAUACCAGGUGUCCUUAGAAGAAGAGGAGAUUGGGCCCCAGACACACAUGCACAGAAGAAAGACCACGUGAAGACAAAGGGAGAAGUCGGUGAUCUACAAACCAAGGAAACAUCCUCAGAAUGAAACCAACCUUGCCAACCCCUGAUCCUAGGCCUCCAGCCUCCACAACGGCCUUUGGACUCAGAUGGAAUUAUACCACGGGGUUUCCUGGAUCUCCAGUAUGCAGAUGGCAGAUUGUGGAACUUCUCAGCCUCCAAAAUCGAGUGAGCCAAUUCCCAUCAUAAAUCCCCUCUCCUGUGUCUAAAUAUGUCCUAUUGCUUCUCCUUCUCUGGAGAAUGCUGACUAAUACAGACAUAAUACAGCA
rnacentral:lncRNA from 1 species